rnacentral:rRNA from 1 species
AAUUUUCCGCAAUGGACGAAAGUCUGACGGAGCAAUGCCGCGUGAGUGAUGAAGGUUUUCGAAUCGUAAAGCUCUGUUGUAAGGGAAGAAUAGCAAGAAUAGGAAAUGAUUCUUGUCUGACGGUACCUUACCAGACAGCCACGGCUAACUACGUGCCAGCAGCCGCGGUAAUACGUAGGUGGCAAGCGUUAUCCGGAAUUAUUGGGCGUAAAGCGCAUGUAGGCGGCUCUUUAAGUUUGAUGUGAAAGCCUGUGGCUCAACCACAGAAUUGCAUUGAAUACUGGAGAGCUAGAAUCUUGGAGAGGUAAGUGGAAUUUCAUGUGUAGCGGUGGAAUGCGUAGAUAUAUGAAGGAACACCAAUGGCGAAGGCAGCUUACUGGACAAGUAUUGACGCUGAGAUGCGAAAGUGUGGGUAGCAAAC